rnacentral:lncRNA from 1 species
CACGGUGGUGACACCACGACCACCCCGGUGCCACGGCAGGCAUGGUGGUGACACCACGGCCGUGGCGGUGACGCUCUCGCCGUGCCAGGUGCUGGUCAGCGAGCUGCACCGCCGCGUGCUCGUCGAGUACGUGCGGCCGCUGCUGCAGGGGCGCCUGGUGUGCGCCUCGGCCAAGGCGCGCGCCCGCGUGGCCGCCCGGCUGGGCGACGAGGCCCGGCAGCUCCGCGAGCUCUUCACGCGCCUGGACUCGGCCUCGCCCUGGCUGGACUCGGUGGUGCCGCGGCUGCGGGAGCUGCUGGUGCUGGAGGACACGGCCGCGCUGCAGAUGGAGGUCGGCGCCCUGGCCCGGGACUUCCCCGACGUCCGGCGGAGGCACGUGGCCGCGCUGCUGGACGCGCGUGGGCUGCGGGCUCAGGGCCCCCGGCGAGAGAUCCUGGGGGUGCUGCAGGAUCUGGGGGGGUCGUCGGAGGCCGAACCGGGACCCCCGCUCCGGCACCGGACGUUCUUCUCGGAGCUGCCGGCGCCGCGCCCCGUGCGCUGCCUCCCGUUCCACCUGCCCCGGCUGCGGCUGCCGCGCCGCAGCCCCGCCAGGACCCCCCCGUGACCCCCCCCGGGGGUGGGGGGACACCCCAAAACCCGGGUGUCACCCCCGCCCCGGACCCCCCCAGUGCCUCCCAGUUCCGCCCAGUCCCUCCCAGUUCCCCCCAGGGUGUAAAGGGUGAAUUUAAGGCCAG